rnacentral:rRNA from 1 species
GGGAACUGAAACAUCUAAGUACCCCGAGGAAAAGAAAUCAACCGAGAUUCCCCCAGUAGCGGCGAGCGAACGGGGAGGAGCCCAGAGCCUGAAUCAGCAUGUGUGUUAGUGGAAGCGUCUGGAAAGGUGCGCGAUACAGGGUGACAGCCCCGUACACAAAAGCGCAUGUGCUGUGAGCUCGAUGAGUAGGGCGGGACACGUGGUAUCCUGUCUGAAUAUGGGGGGACCAUCCUCCAAGGCUAAAUACUCCUGACUGACCGAUAGUGAACCAGUACCGUGAGGGAAAGGCGAAAAGAACCCCGGCGAGGGGAGUGAAAAAGAACCUGAAACCGUGUACGUACAAGCAGUGGGAGCACAGGUUUACCUGUGUGACUGCGUACCUUUUGUAUAAUGGGUCAGCGACUUAUAUUCUGUAGCAAGGUUAACCGUAUAGGGGAGCCGUAGGGAAACCGAGUCUUAACCGGGCGUUAAGUUGCAGGGUAUAGACCCGAAACCCGGUGAUCUAGCCAUGGGCAGGUUGAAGGUUGGGUAACACUAACUGGAGGACCGAACCGACUAAUGUUGAAAAAUUAGCGGAUGACCUGUGGCU